CGACCGGCGCACGGGUGCGUAACGCGUAUGCAACCUACCUUUAACAGGGGAUAACACUGAGAAAUUGGUACUAAUACCCCAUAAUAUCAUAGAAGGCAUCUUUUAUGGUUGAAAAUUCCGAUGGUUAGAGAUGGGCAUGCGUUGUAUUAGCUAGUUGGUGGGGUAACGGCUCACCAAGGCGACGAUACAUAGGGGGACUGAGAGGUUAACCCCCCACACUGGACUGAGACACGGCCCAG
rnacentral:rRNA from 1 species